CGUUGGAAAUUUGAGAGGAGCUGUCCUUAGUACGAGAGGACCGGGAUGGACGCACCGCUGGUGUACCAGUUGUUCCGCCAGGAGCAUCGCUGGGUAGCUACGUGCGGAAGGGAUAAACGCUGAAAGCAUCUAAGCGUGAAGCCCCCCUCAAGAUGAGAUUUCCCACUUAAUUGGUAAGACCCCUUGAAGACGACGAGGUUGAUAGGCUGGAGGUGGACGCGCAGCAAUGUGUGGAGCUGACCAGUACUAAUCGGUCGA
rnacentral:ncRNA from 1 species